rnacentral:rRNA from 1 species
CCUACGGGGGGCUGCAGCCAAGAAUAUUCCGCAAUGGGGGAAACCCUGACGGAGCGACGCCGCGUGAGGGAUGGAGGCCUUCGGGUUGUAAACCUCUUUUAUUAGGGAAGAAUAAGGCUGGGAGUGGAAAGCCCAGCCGAUGACGGUACCUAUUGAAUAAGCCCCGGCUAAUUACGUGCCAGCAGCCGCGGUAAUACGUAGGGGGCGAGCGUUGCUCGGAUUUACUGGGUGUAAAGGGCGUGUAGGCGGCUUUGCAAGUCGAAAGUGAAAAGUUACGGCUCAACCGUAACAUCGCGUUCGAAACUGCGAAGCUAGAGUUUUGUGGAGGGUGAUGGAACUCCCGGUGUAGCGGUGAAAUGCGUAGAGAUCGGGAAGAACACCAAAGGCGAAGGCAGUCAUCCAUGCAAGAACUGACGCUGAGGCGCGAAAGCGUGGGGAGCAAACAGGAUUAGAUACCCUGGUAGUC